UGAUGGCAGAGAGGUCACACCCGUUCCCAUACCGAACACGGAAGUUAAGCUCUCUAGCGCCGAUGGUAGUUGGGACCUUGUCCCUGUGAGAGUAGGACGUCGCCAAGCA
rnacentral:rRNA from 6 species